rnacentral:tRNA from 1 species
CAGGGAGACAACACAAUGAUUUUGAUGCCUGAGUGCUUUUAUUCUUAGGCCGAAAUCCUGUCACCUUAGGUCGAUCGGUACCUCAGCUUUGAAGUCAAGAAUGAGCAGCAAUGUUGAUUGCUUGAUGGAGAUUUUCAGUUCCUAAACUUUGUCUAGGUCACACCCCAAAAGGGAUGAGACUCCUGGGCCAUUAGCUCAGGUGGUUAGAGCGCACCCCUGAUAAGGGUGAGGUCCCUGGUUCAAGUCCAGGAUGGCCCAUUCGGUGUUGGGGGUUUAGCUCAGUUGGUAGAGCGCCUGCUUUGCAAGCAGGAUGUCAGGAGUUCGAGUCUCCUAACCUCCACUGACCGAACUUUUUCCCCAUCUCCAAAUCGUUGGAGUUGAGCUCGAUUGGCGUGUGAUUUAGAUGUGUCCGCUGGAUGACCCCAGCUUCCUGUCAUUCCAAGUUUUAAGUUGAAAGCUUUGAAUUUGGUUGAUAAGAUGCUGGGCUCGAACUGAGCAAUCAGUUUGAAGUUCUAGCAGAACCUUGACAACUGCAUAGGUGAAGUCUGGAAAAAACAAAGCAUCUUACAGAUGCAUUGUUUUGAAUCUGAUCUUUCGAAAGGAAGAUUGGAUCUAGAACAAUGAAAAUUCUUUUGAGCAGAGCCGAGACUCUUGAACGUUCUUUGAUUCGUGUCGAGCGAAUCAGAGUUUGAUCUUGUUUUUAGCAAUAAAACUUGAGAAUCUGCUUUCAACGGCGGUAAGCGUUCAGGAGGUUAUUGG